UGGGGAAUAUUGGGCAAUGGGGGAAACCCUGACCCAGCAACGCCGCGUGAGGGAAGAAGGCUUUCGGGUUGUAAACCUCUGUCCUUGGGGACGAAACAAAUGACGGUACCCAAGGAGGAAGCUCCGGCUAACUACGUGCCAGCAGCCGCGGUAAUACGUAGGGAGCAAGCGUUGUCCGGAAUUACUGGGCGUAAAGGGUGCGUAGGCGGCCCAUUAAGUCAGAUGUGAAAUACCCGUGCUUAACAUGGGGGGUACAUCUGAAACUGGUGGGCUUGAGUGCAGGAGAGGAAAGCGGAAUUCCUAGUGUAGCGGUGAAAUGCGUAGAUAUUAGGAGGAACACCAGUGGCGAAGGCGGCUUUCUGGACUGUAACUGACGCUGAAGCGCGAAAGCGUGGGGAGCAAACA
rnacentral:rRNA from 1 species